rnacentral:lncRNA from 1 species
GUUUGACAUUUUAUUUAGUAGAAAUAUGGAGUAGAUAUUUAAACAAUAUUCUUGCAACAGAACAGAGCUCCUGUCCACCUGUGUGUGUCCUUUGAAUGGAUGGCAGCUGCAUCGCUACAUUAAAGCUCGUUAGAAUGAUGAGUCCUUGCUAUGCCCCAAGCACUGUUUUGGGUGUUUGAUAUCUAUUAUCUCACUUCAUCCUCAUCAUGACCCCAUGUGAGGAGCAUCAACGGAAAGAGACAAUGGUGCAUACUGAACCAGAAUACCUAGAGGGAGAACCAUAUGCCCUGACUCUGAGACUAACUUGUGGAUGGCAACAUGCACAUGGUUGGCAGAGGAGGGAAGACAGAACUAUCAUCUUGAAAUGUCUAGUCCAUGGUUCCUGCGGGCAUUCACCUGUGCAAGCUCCCAGCUUGCAGGCUGCUUUUUGUUAGAAAAUACUGUGGGACUGCUUUUCAUUAAGAAGAAAAGCCUUGCCAAGGACUCCCAUACUCUUGCUAUCUGCCUAAGUGAUUUCUUCUUAACUCUUGUAGCAUACUUCUCAGAGAGACAACAGAAGACAGACAGCCCAGAUUGAUCUUGUAGGACUUGGUAAGAAAUUUUUAAGUGAACCAAAGAAAAUGAAGGAGUCAUUGCCAAUGUUUAAGUAAAGAAGUAAUAUGUGUGCUUUAAAAAGAAAGAAAGAAAAAAACACCUGAAAGCUCAUGUAGGACAUAUUGCAAAGAAAGUUGCAGAGUCAAGUACAAACUAUUGCAAAUCUGUACAGAGGAUGAAUAAGAGAGCACAGUGCUGUCCCUGCUCCUGGCCCUGCUGCAGGGAGGUCGGGAAAGAUGAGACUGGGUGACCACUGAUUUGGCAACUGGAGGUCAUUUGUGGCAGUGAAAAGAACAAUUUCCUUGAGUGGUGGAGACAAAACUUUUCUUCAAGAGAAAAGAAACAAUGAGAAAGUAAAGACUUCACAGAGUUUUGCUAUGAAGGUGAGAAGGGAAACAAAGCUAUAGGAGAUUUGUGAAGACAGGGGAACUUUAUUUUGUUAUUGUGCAUGUGUGCGUGUAUGUGCGUGUUUAAGAAGGGAGGGAGCUAUUAAAAUACAUUUGUUGGCUGAUGAGAAUGAUCCAAUGGAGAGAGGAAAUUUGAUGAUGCAGGCAGUAGUGAGAUUAAUGUAGGCACAAAAUCCUUGAGUAUGUAAGAAGUGAUUGGAUGCAGUGUGCAAGGAGAGGUUGGCCUUAUAUUGGAACCCUGAUGUUUAUUCUUUAAAUAUGAGAAAAGCCAGAAUACAUGAAUUUGCAGAGGGAGUGAAGUUGAACGUUUGGUGGUAGUUAGAUGAGGCAUCUUCUACUCUCAUUCUUCUAUUUACUACAAGUGUCUAAUUGCUUCUAUUUUCUCAGUGCAUAGAAAGUAGGUCAUCAUUUGACAUGAGAAGGGGCUAGGGGUGUCAGAGAUUUGAGGGAAAAAGAGAAGCUGUGAAAUAGUAAGAGAACUACUUGACUAAGGAAAGUUAUUUGUGUUGCCUGCCAGCGUUGAGGCCCAGUCUAGUUUUAAAAUUAAUAUAAGGCCUCUUAGCUCCCUUCUACCUAACAUUGGCUGCUCCAGUAAAGGCAUGAAGUAAGCAGACAGUGGACUUCUUCAGGCUUGAGAUUUUGGAGAUGAGGCACAACCAGAGGGAGAGACGAAUAAGAGUAAUGAGGGUACGUAUACAAGGCAUGAACUAUGAUAAUGGAUCACGCCAUCCAAGCGGAGUAGAGUGAGAACAUGAAUUAGAAUGGAGCAACAAGGUGCCACAAUAAGAGGUGACACCUCUCAUGCUCACAGACAUCAGGACCGGUCACCUAAUUUGUGGGGCUUAGUGCAAAACAAAAAUUUAGGGCCACUUAUUCAAACAUUGUUAGGAAUUUCAAGACGUGGGCAUGAUGGAAUCUCAGUUACUUAGGAUGAAGCAGGAGUGGCCAUGAGAAACAGACCUCUCAGACACUGAACUAGGAAGGAAGAGGUGAUUUAUUUCAGCCAGGAGCAAGGCGACAUAUUUAUCUGACAGCCAAGCUCCUCUGACAAGGAGAAGCUCUGCCUUUAUAUAGGCUUACAACUCUAGAUACUGCACAUGAAAGGGUCUUGGGUUUACAGUUUUAGAAAUUAGAUGUGAGAGGGUCUUGGCUGAUGGAGUAGGAGUGGGGUGGGGGUUUGAUCUUGUUAAAGUAGAAACAAUGCCUUCUGGACAGAUUCCUCCAUAGUAUGCCUGCUAUCUAUACGAAGGCAUUAAGAAGGCACCAGUUGGCCAGCCUUUUGCUGGGGUCUACAUGCCUAGUGUCUAGUUGCUUGGGUCUCUUUCCUCACUCCCCACUUUUGAGACCCUCGCUCUAUAAUGUUAGUGAGAAGCCUCACUCUCAUUCUCAUUUUCCUGAUUCUCUGAAGAAACUGAUUGAUAAUGAUUCAUAUAAUAUACUUGUGAU